AGAGUUUGAUCCUGGCUCAGAAUGAACGCUGGCGGCGUGCCUAACACAUGCAAGUCGUACGAGAAAUCUCGGGCUUGCUCGAGAGAGUAAAGUGGCGCACGGGUGAGUAACACGUAGGUAAUCUACCUCCGGGUCAGGGAUAACCCGCCGAAUGGCGGGCUAAUACCUGGUAAUACCCUGUCUGCGGGAGCAGGCGGGAUCAAAGGUGGCCUCUGCAUGCAAGCUACUGCUUGGAGAUGAGCCUGCGGACCAUUAGCUAGUUGGUAGGGUAAUGGCCUACCAAGGCGACGAUGGUUAGCUGGUCUGAGAGGACGACCAGCCACACUGGAACUGAGACACGGUCCAGACUCCUACGGGAGGCAGCAGUGGGGAAUUUUGGACAAUGGGCGCAAGCCUGAUCCAGCCAUUCCGCGUGAGUGAAGAAGGCCUUCGGGUUGUAAAGCUCUUUCGCAAGGGAAGAAAACUUAGUCACUAACAUUGACUGAGGUUGACGGUACCUUGAUAAGAAGCACCGGCUAACUACGUGCCAGCAGCCGCGGUAGUACGUAGGGUGCGAGCGUUAAUCGGAAUUACUGGGCGUAAAGCGUGCGCAGGCGGUUUUGUAAGUCAGAUGUGAAAUCCCCGAGCUCAACUUGGGAACUGCGUUUGAAACUACAAGACUAGAAUAUGUCAGAGGGGGGUAGAAUUCCACGUGUAGCAGUGAAAUGCGUAGAGAUGUGGAGGAAUACCAAUGGCGAAGGCAGCCCCCUGGGAUAAUAUUGACGCUCAUGCACGAAAGCGUGGGGAGCAAACAGGAUUAGAUACCCUGGUAGUCC
rnacentral:rRNA from 1 species